rnacentral:sRNA from 1 species
GCACUUUCAAAAAGUGCCGAGCCUGGAAACUCGAAUGAUAAAACAUUGGCGUAUGAAUGCACGCCGUUUAAUGCGUGUUUUUU